CCAUACAACCUUGAGGUGUAUUAAACAAUAUAGAGAUGUGUUACAAAAGUUACAAAUCAUUAUAUAAAAAAGAGAGAGCGUGCAGAAUUAAAAUCUACCAUCUCAUGAAUUGCAGAAAAAGAGAGAGCCCGUAAAAUUGAUGACAAAAGAGCAAAUGAUCACGGUAAAAAAUCAGAAAAUCAAUCCCCUUACGGAAGCACACCCAUGAAAAUUGUAGAGAGCAGAGGGAAAGACACAUAGAGAAAACAUAUCCCAAGAAAGAGAGGGAGGAGGAGAAUCUACAUGAGAGAAAAGACAACCUCUGUACAUUUUUUAGCUUGGUUUUGUGAGCCUCUUUAGGGGUUUUCACUUCCAAUCUCACUUGAACUCAAACUCCUGCUCAUAUAUUUUGCUUUCGAUUUUGAUGGUGGUUGCUUCUCCAAUUUCCAUUUCCCUGCAAUAUUUAUCAUACCUUGGUUGCUUCUCCAAUUUCCAUUUCCCUGCAAUAUUUAUCAUGAGUUGAUCCAAGUCUCUUCCUCUAUUUUGGGUUUCAGUGUUUUGAGAAUUUUUUGGUCUCUUUCAUCAAGGCCAUAUUCUGGAGCUGCUGCAUCGUCCUCUGGAAUCUUCUUCUGCCUUUUCUUGGUGUUACCAUCGACAUUAGCCUGACGUCGCUCAUGUUUCGCCUUAGCAACAAUGAUCUUGGGUUCUUGGUUUUUCCAAUAUCAUCAUCUUGAUUAUCCUUCUCUCGUUUCUCCUGCAUUAGCUCUCCUUGAUUUGGAUCCAUGAUGAUAUCUAUACAUCUGUCGAUGAGAGAGCGACAAGAUGUUAAGCAUUAGAGCUCUUUGAUUUGGAUCCAUGAUGAUCUCAGGUCAUCUGUAAAUGAGAGAGCGACGAGAUGUUAGAGUGGACAGAGAGAGAAGAGGGUGGGACGUGACAACAUACGAAUAUUAUAUAUACUUUUACAUUUAGAGAGAGAUUGAAUUGUUGCUUCACCCUUGAAAAUUGCCUAUUUGUCUAAUUAUCCAAAGCAAAAAGGGGAAAAAAAAGAAGAUAGAAACCCCUCGGGACCUUGGCAUGUUAUCAGCAUUUUGUAAACCACACCAUUCACUUUAAUUCUAUUUAUUUAAAAAAAUAUAUAAAAGGACUAUUUAGUUCUAGUACAAGGGAGUCACAAACACUUUUGUCCAUCAGAUUGUCAAUCGGCGGGUUAAGAGAGUGUCAUUGAUUGGACUCAAAGUUCAAAAACAAAAAUUCUCCAACUUCGUUACAUACUCCAAGCCAUCUUAUUUGACAUCUAAUGACUAGGAGUAAUUACGACCUCCUUGUAACAAAGAUAAGUGAUCUGGCACAAUACCCUCCCAUUUAUUUUUUCAUCCACCCCUCAACUAAGAUAGUAGUUUUUUAGGACUAAAAUACCCCUAUAUAAACUUUGAAAUUUAAGAUAUUUUCUCUUUUGACAAUUUUUAAAAUCUAAGAUAGUUUACCUGUAAAAAUUUUGAGAUGGUUUCUCUCUCUAAAUUUUUUUAAAUAAUUUCUCUCUCUAAACCUCAGGCUUUGAGAUAAAUUUUAUCUCUAAAAUAUCAAAUUUCAAGUUUUUAGAGAGAGAAAAUAUCUUAAAUACUUAGAAAGUACUCGCAUCCCAAAAAGGCUACUUUCUUACUUGAGGGUGGAUGCAAAAAAUAAAUAACAUUGGAGUUAGUGGUGUGAUUUGAAAAGUAUUGGGGACGAGUGUACCUAAAAAGUGGACUCUAGGGGCCUAUCUAUAAUUUCUCUAAAAAGCUUUGGGGACAUCCCUGGAUGCACUGGUUGCGUGCAUGCUCUCCAAUCUCUCUCUCUUUUAACAAUAUCUCUAAACUUUAUUAAGAAAGUGCCGUUACAAAAGAUGUUACAAAGGCAUCACAGAAACGACUCCUCAAAAUUUGACAAUCCGAGUACAGAAACACCCUGUUUGGCUAUGCCAUUAGCCACAUCAUUAGCUUCUAUGCAAACAUGUCUAAAAUAAAGCUCCAUAGAGCAACAAAUGUCCAUCAUUUGCAAAUCGAUCUCAAGCUCCACCAUGGUCUAUAUUCAUUAUUGUAUCAAUUGAUGAUAUUAAGUGAACCUGCCUCCAAUAUACAACUAACUCUAUUCUGCCCUUCCAAUAAGAAUUUUGCUCCUUGUAUAAAAAACAGUAGUCUCUGCCUGAUCGGUCAUAUUAGAGUCGCAAAGACCAGAAUAACAGAAAACCACAUUACCAUCUGAAUAUCUAUCCCGUCCUCUUAUUCCUACCGAUCUGAGGUUCCAAAGGGCAUCCUCUUUACUCUACGUUAUUCAAUUGAACUGUGCAGAAUCACCUGAUUAUUGGUUGCAAUCCAGUUAUAUUGAACGUCGCAAAUUGGAUGCGGCAAGUAUUUCACAUCAAGGCAGUCUCUACCAUAAUAGAUAAAUAGACGGUGCGGUUUGCACCCAAACUAUAAUAGAUACAUAGACGGUGCGGGUUGCACCCAAACACCAUCUUCAUUAGUGUAUCUAACAAAUUCUCCUUGGUUCCAGGUUUCAUCAACCAAAUUCAAUUGUCAUUUACUACUUGCCAACCAUAAAGAUACCUCACCAAUAGAUGCUUCAUCCUCUUGUGAUAAAUCAUGCUCUUGGUUAACUUGAUUGUACUCUUGUUAUCGUAUUACGAUGGGGUUGGAAUUGACACCCAACUCACCCAUGAGAUAAUUCAACAUGUUCUCCACCUCGUUGGCUAACAUUCCAUCUUUAUUGAGGCUUUGACAUUACUGGUUCAUUUGAAAACUUGAAACAAAACCGAUGCUUGAUCUUGUUCUGUCAAGAUUACCAGCAUAAAUUGCAUGUCUCAAGUCGUUACUAAAUGUCAUAGCAUAACCACUUGUGCUUCUUAAAUACCGAGCCACCUAUUUUGCAACUUCUCAAGCCAUUUCCUACAAUGAGGUAAACAUGCUAUCCAUAUAUCUCAUAAUUGACUAGUAUAUGUCUCAUAAUUGACUAACCGAUCGAUUGCAUUCACACAUAUGGCAUUUUGAUUUUGGAUGAUGGAGUUGUGAAUGACUUACAAAUACGUUGGAAAAAAAAAGAGAGAAAGCAAGAAUUUUAUUUUAGGGAAAAUAUACUGAAAAUUUAUAUUUGUUAUGUAUAGAAUCAGUGCUAUACAAAUUAGAGUCUAACUCCAAAAUGGCUAGGGACGGAUUCCAAUUCACAUAGUCUUAGUUGGGUCAUUCUUGAGUCGGAUGUGCAUAUUUCCAAAGAAUAAGCCUAAAUGCUUAGAGAAAUGAAUGGCUCCAAGUUUCUUCAAACAUGAAUCCCCCACCUCUUGAUGCCAAUAGAACUUUGGUGAUUCUAAGUUGGAUUGAUGGUUUUUGUAAUCUUAAGUUGGAUUGAUGGUUUUUGUAAUCUUAAGUUGGAUUGAUGGUUUUUGUAAUCUAUGCAUACAACAUAAUUGCGGUUUAUGUAAAGGCUAUUCAAGGCUACACGGCUUUGAGAAUUACAAUAGCAAUAACUUAUUCAAAAUUUCAAGAAAUUAUGCAUUGUUUAUAAACUACUUCCAAAAUUCAAACGUGAUUCCACAAAUUAACGGAGUCAUUUUUAAAUUUAAAUAUGAUUUCAAAGAGAUUUUGAAAUUAGAAAAAUCAUCCUUUUUGGCAUACACAAACACUUAUUAGUUAAAAAUAAUUUUAGGUAUAUAAGGGUAUUUUAUGGUUUAAUAAUAUCUAGUGAGCCGUUUACGGGUAGGAAAUUGAUGUAUUUACGGGUCGGCUAUUAGGAUUUAUGAAAAAAUUUAGCAAAAUUUUACGCUAACUGCCCAUUUAACAUAAACUUCCUAUUUCAUAGGGACUUGGGACAGGCAUGACCGGCCUGGACCGUCCAUGGUAGAGCUAACGCUUACUUUGUUUUUAUCCAAAAGCUAUAUUUGUUUCAAUUUAUGAGUGUAAUAACUCCACUUGCAACCCUAUGCACUCCCACCAUAAUGCCUUGAAUAAGUUUUUAAAACCACAAACUCGGGCAUGGACACGCUAAGGUCCUGAGCAUUGAUCAGUCGGUCUGAUUCGAGUGAGCUGCAAUUCAAACCAAUAUUGAGUUUCAAUCCAGACUGAUAUUUUUUAAUAAAAAUUUUAGAGUCUAGAGUCUAGGGUGGGACUCCUGACAAAUCUUGAAUUUUUUGCCAAGUUCUAAUCCGACCAAGCUUAGGUGUGUCUCAAGUUGGCUCGAUGAUAAUCUAAAUACUAUCUCGAGCUGUACACGUUUAUUGAAAUCAGACAAAUGUGUUCAUACAAAAUACAUAUUUUGCAUAAUGUGACUUCUUGAGUUCCAUUCCUACCAUAGUUAGGGAGACCCUUUCUCUCUCGAACUAUCCAAAAAAACAAAAAUGCAUCAUUUGCACAAGCGCAUUGUCCUCACGAAACGUUGUGCACUGACUACAAAAGCAAGAGAUUUGUUAAAGAGAAUUUUAUUAAUCUAGAAAUUUGAAAUCUACUUUAAAUCUGACAAGUAUUUCCAAACUAUAAACUUUGAAUUCCAAACAUUUAAAAUCUAAUUACUAUGCAAACAUUAGACACUAUUUUUCAGGCUGUUAGUUGGAACAUAUCCUCUAUACCUUUUUUUAUGAGAUGCCAAAAGGUUUCCUACUCCUAGGGGAGCAUACGAUGCAUCUACUCCCCUAGGUCAAACUUGCUCUAGGAAUAUGUUUUACAUACCAAAUUUUGGUAUGUGAUCUCUAGAAGCCAGUAACCAACCUCAAAAAAAAAGAAAAAUUAACUAACACUCUCUGUGCCUAAACAAAUUAGUAUCCCAAGAUUGCACUAGAACCAUCCAAUUUUUGUAAGGAAUGUCUUGAUGUUCAAGAACUAAAAAUCCAAAAAUUUUCUUUGAAAAUAAUCAUUUGGUUAUAAUUAGACAAGUCCCAAAAUUCCAAUUUUAAAAAAAAACCUCCCAAGCAAGUGUUUUGCCUGAGGGAGUAAAUGUAUAUUAUGCUUUUGACAGAGCAUAUUAUACGCACUCUUGUGAGAUGGAUCGCUAAAUACUUAAAAUCCAACUACUGUGCAAAAUUUGGGUGAGGCCAGAAUCCACCACCACCAGGUAAGGAGGUCAAGGACUGCCAUUCCAAGGUCGUGAUGCAUGAAAUUUUUUAUGAAUUUUGCUACAUGGUUUCAAUUUGAAUAGAUGUCCUCCACUUUGGCCCUUGGAUUGAGGAUCUCGUUUACCUUUAAUACAAGAAGUUUUUUGUAAACUCCCUCAUCUUACUCACCCAGUCGGAGUGGAGGGUACUUGAACCACUAGUGCUAAUUCAAUGCAUGCAAGUGAAAAUCGAAUAAAUAACAACAAGGCGCAUUCCUAGAGAACUAUAAACAAUAUUGUAGUGAACAAGUGCAUUGGGGAUUACAAGUGAUUCUUCAAAUUUAUGAGAUUUGGUCUAAAAUAAUCGAAAGCGGGGAGUUUAAACGGCCCUUAACAAAAGCACAUGGCAAUAAUCAUAGAUCUUGUGCAUAUUCGAGCAUCAUAAUGAUAAUUUUGAAGAUAAAGUCGUAACACCAAAUAACAGAAAAUAUGAAAGGAAUAAGUUUAAUCCAAACCUAUGGAAGGAAGUCAUGCCCUUCAGGGAUACUCUGCACACAGACAUAAUCAUAGAUUCAAUCAAGGAAAAUAAAAAUUCUAAAAAAAAAUAAAAUUUCAAAGACAAAAUAAGUAGUCCUUUUAUUUCAUAUCUCUAUAUAUUAAGAUUCUUUAGCUGCGUUUGUGGUCAACUCAAAAUCAAAUGUAAGCUUUCAGUCUCUUUUAUGAGGUCCCUAAACCCUUACAAAGGAUGUAGCAUCGAUUUAAUUGUAAGAUAUUAGAAGCAAAAGCGGCAGUUCUUUACUCAAAACAAUGGUAGUAAGGAAUAGCUUCAAUGUAGUGGUAAUGGCCCUUUAGAGAUACUUUGCACACAGACAUAACCAUAGAUUCAAUCAAGGAAAAUACAAAUUCUACAAAAAUGACAAUUUCGAAGGAAAAAUAAGUACUUUUUAUGGAGGGAUCUUAUGAAGGUUUAGGGAUCUUAUGAGUGGCAUGUGCUCAUUUCUCCAUUGAAUUAUGUGAUACGAUUUCUUCUCAUAAAUGAUAGAUUUCCCUUAAAACAUAGCUCAUAGAAAAUAUUCACGUCACUGACUAGUACGUCAUGGAUGGCGGUCAUUGACCCAAGGAAAUACAAGGUUUUGACAAUCACCUAGGAUAUUUUGAAAAAGAAAAAAAAUAUUCUAAAAGCUUGUAACUUUAUAUUAUAGAAGUAAUGUGCACUUCAAAAGUCUUGCAGAAAAUAAUAUUUUGAAGUUGAAAAAUCGUCGAAUUGAUCAUCUUGACCUGGAGAUUAUAGAUAUAACGAUAAAAAUAAUUUAGCUCCUAAAUAUAGUGCUUCUUUUAAAAAGUCAUCUAGACUGUUUAUUUUCAAUAUUUUCAAGUAUAUAAAUAUACUCGAUCUACAAUGUUUAAAUUUAAUAAUUAGGAUUGAACAUGGAUUUUUAAGCGAUCAUAAGAUUUCUGACACCAAAACUAUAUCUUUAAACAAAAUUAAAAGGGGUGCCUUUGUUGUAUAUUACAAGGUGUGCACCUUAUACAAACCUCCACUUAACAACACACAAG
rnacentral:lncRNA from 1 species